rnacentral:lncRNA from 10 species
UUUGCUGCCUCACCCCUGGGUGAUGUUCAGGCUAGCCUGGUGCGCGAGAGGAGGGGAAUGGCAGGUCCCCGCUUCGCGUACCUUGGAAAUAAGCUCAUCGUGUUUGGCCAGGUGUGCACGGCAGUGGACACAGCUCUUGGACACCAGCCCUGAAGCAGGGAAAAGACAGAUGUACUAAUUGUCAUGGAUGGCAAACUGUGCCCCCAAACUUGUACCAAGCCUCAAAGCCUUGGUUUAAUACUCCUGAAGGAGUAAUAGACCCAAUGUGACAUUUUGCAUGCAGGAACCCCUUAACAGCUACCUCCAUAUUAUGCGUGCUUCAUGAAUGGAGACACCUACGUUAUAUGAAGUUCUCUAUUGGGCUGUAAACUUCCUGAGACAGGCCUUCUGGGAAAUUACUCUCUACAUCCCAGGACUGCAAUGUCCAGUGCAGACCCGUGCAUUUAGAUGUUUCCAAAAUAGCAGUUGUUUCCGCGGCAUUAUGUUCUGCUGGCCUAGAGGUCUUAGUUCCAGAGGGAGGAAUGCUGCCACCAAGAGACACAACAAUGAUUCCAUUAAACUGGAAGUUAA